rnacentral:rRNA from 1 species
UGGAAACUGUAUAGCUAUGAGUGCAUGAGAGGUAAGUGGAAUUCCUAGUGUAUGGGUGAAAUGCGUAGAUAUUAGGAGGAACACCAGUGGCUAAUGCGGCUUACUGGACUGUAACUGACUUUGAGGCUCCAAAGCGUGCGGGGCAAACAGGAUUAUAUACCCUGGUAUUCCGCGCCGGAAACGAUGAUUACUAGGUGUCCGGGGCUAUAACCCUUCGGUGCCGUCUCAAACGCAAUAAGUAAUCCACCUGGGGAGUACUGUCGCCAGAGUGAAACUCAAAGGAAUUGACGGGGACCCGCACAAGCGGUGGAGCAUGUGGUUUAAUUCUGCCCCACCUCGAUAACCUUACCUGGUCUUGACAUCCCUCUGACCGGUCUGUAAUGAGACUCUUCCUUCGGGACAGAUGACACAGGUGGUGCAUGGUUGUCGUCUGCUCGUGCCGUGAGAUGUUGCGUUAAGUCCCGCAUUGAGUUUAAC